UUAAGCGACUAAGCGUACACGGUGGAUGCCCUGGCAGUCAGAGGCGAUGAAGGACGUGCUAAUCUGCGAAAAGCGUCGGUAAGGUGAUAUGAACCGUUAUAACCGGCGAUGUCCGAAUGGGGAAACCCAGUGCAAUUCGUUGCACUAUCGUUAACUGAAUACAUAGGUUAACGAGGCGAACCGGGGGAACUGAAACAUCUAAGUACCCCGAGGAAAAGAAAUCAACCGAGAUUCCCCCAGUAGCGGCGAGCGAACGGGGAGCAGCCCAGAGUCUGAAUCAGCUUGUGUGUUAGUGGAACGGUCUGGAAAGUCCGACGGUACAGGGUGAUAGUCCCGUACACCAAAAUGCACAGGCUGUGAACUCGAAGAGUAGGGCGGGACACGUGGUAUCCUGUCUGAAUAUGGGGGGACCAUCCUCCAAGGCUAAAUACUCCUGACUGACCGAUAGUGAACCAGUACCGUGAGGGAAAGGCGAAAAGAACCCCGGCGAGGGGAGUGAAAAAGAACCUGAAACCGUGUACGUACAAGCAGUGGGAGCACCUUCGGGUGUGACUGCGUACCUUUUGUAUAAUGGGUCAGCGACUUAUAUUCUGUAGCAAGGUUAACCGUAUAGGGGAGCCGCAGGGAAACCGAGUCUUAACUGGGCGUUAAGUUGCAGGGUAUAGACCCGAAACCCGGUGAUCUAGCCAUGGGCAGGUUGAAGGUUGGGUAACACUAACUGGAGGACCGAACCGACUAAUGUUGAAAAAUUAGCGGAUGACUUGUGGCUGGGGGUGAAAGGCCAAUCAAACCGGGAGAUAGCUGGUUCUCCCCGAAAGCUAUUUAGGUAGCGCCUCGUGAACUCAUCUUCGGGGGUAGAGCACUGUUUCGGCUAGGGGGUCAUCCCGACUUACCAACCCGAUGCAAACUACGAAUACCGAAGAAUGUUAUCACGGGAGACACACGGCGGGUGCUAACGUCCGUCGUGAAGAGGGAAACAACCCAGACCGCCAGCUAAGGUCCCAAAGUCAUGGUUAAGUGGGAAACGAUGUGGGAAGGCACAGACAGCCAGGAUGUUGGCUUAGAAGCAGCCAUCAUUUAAAGAAAGCGUAAUAGCUCACUGGUCGAGUCGGCCUGCGCGGAAGAUGUAACGGGGCUAAACCAUGCACCGAAGCUGCGGCAGCGACACUAUGUGUUGUUGGGUAGGGGAGCGUUCUGUAAGCCUGCGAAGGUGACCUGUGAGGGUUGCUGGAGGUAUCAGAAGUGCGAAUGCUGACAUAAGUAACGAUAAAGCGGGUGAAAAGCCCGCUCGCCGGAAGACCAAGGGUUCCUGUCCAACGUUAAUCGGGGCAGGGUGAGUCGACCCCUAAGGCGAGGCCGAAAGGCGUAGUCGAUGGGAAACAGGUUAAUAUUCCUGUACUUGGUGUUACUGCGAAGGGGGGACGGAGAAGGCUAUGUUAGCCGGGCGACGGUUGUCCCGGUUUAAGCAUGUAGGCUGGUUAUCCAGGCAAAUCCGGAUAAUCAAGGCUGAGGUGUGAUGACGAGGUACUACGGUGCUGAAGUAACAAAUGCCCUGCUUCCAGGAAAAGCCUCUAAGCAUCAGGUAACAUUGAAUCGUACCCCAAACCGACACAGGUGGUCAGGUAGAGAAUACCAAGGCGCUUGAGAGAACUCGGGUGAAGGAACUAGGCAAAAUGGUGCCGUAACUUCGGGAGAAGGCACGCUGGUGUGUAGGUGAAGUCCCUGCGGAUGGAGCUGAGACCAGUCGAAGAUACCAGCUGGCUGCAACUGUUUAUUAAAAACACAGCACUGUGCAAACACGAAAGUGGACGUAUACGGUGUGACGCCUGCCCGGUGCCGGAAGGUUAAUUGAUGGGGUUAUCCGUAAGGAGAAGCUCUUGAUCGAAGCCCCGGUAAACGGCGGCCGUAACUAUAACGGUCCUAAGGUAGCGAAAUUCCUUGUCGGGUAAGUUCCGACCUGCACGAAUGGCGUAAUGAUGGCCAGGCUGUCUCCACCCGAGACUCAGUGAAAUUGAACUCGCUGUGAAGAUGCAGUGUACCCGCGGCAAGACGGAAAGACCCCGUGAACCUUUACUAUAGCUUGACACUGAACAUUGAGCCUUGAUGUGUAGGAUAGGUGGGAGGCUUUGAAGCGUGGACGCCAGUCUGCGUGGAGCCAACCUUGAAAUACCACCCUUUAAUGUUUGAUGUUCUAACGUUGGCCCCUGACCGGGGUUGCGGACAGUGUCUGGUGGGUAGUUUGACUGGGGCGGUCUCCUCCCAAAGCGUAACGGAGGAGCACGAAGGUUAGCUAAUCCUGGUCGGACAUCAGGAGGUUAGUGCAAUGGCAUAAGCUAGCUUGACUGCGAGCGUGACGGCGCGAGCAGGUGCGAAAGCAGGUCAUAGUGAUCCGGUGGUUCUGAAUGGAAGGGCCAUCGCUCAACGGAUAAAAGGUACUCCGGGGAUAACAGGCUGAUACCGCCCAAGAGUUCAUAUCGACGGCGGUGUUUGGCACCUCGAUGUCGGCUCAUCACAUCCUGGGGCUGAAGUAGGUCCCAAGGGUAUGGCUGUUCGCCAUUUAAAGUGGUACGCGAGCUGGGUUUAGAACGUCGUGAGACAGUUCGGUCCCUAUCUGCCGUGGGCGCUGGAGAAUUGAGGGGGGCUGCUCCUAGUACGAGAGGACCGGAGUGGACGCAUCACUGGUGUUCGGGUUGUCAUGCCAAUGGCACUGCCCGGUAGCUAAAUGCGGAAGAGAUAAGUGCUGAAAGCAUCUAAGCACGAAACUUGCCCCGAGAUGAGUUCUCCCUGAGACUUUAAGUCUCCUGAAGGAACGUUNGACGUUGAUAGGCCGGGUGUGUAAGCGCAGCGAUGCGUUGAGCUAACCGGUACUAAUGAACCGUGAGGCUUAACCUU
rnacentral:rRNA from 1 species